UAUAUCUCAUGUAAUGACUCAAAGUAGCCUAUUUCAACAAAUUCGGAGAACAAACUGAAUGUAAAGUAUUUUCUAACCCUGUAUCUUCAUCAAUCUUAUGAUUGAAGCCUGUCUUUUAUUUGGCUGGCAUUUUGCCAACUCAGCCACCGCAUUGGACAAGAUUUUUUUAGCUGCAAGGUGUGGUGUGUGACCAGGUGUGGUGUGUGACCAGGUGUGGUGUGUGACCAGGUGUGGUGUGUGACCAGGUGUGGUGUGGUGCUGUGGGGUGAGUUCUGCGGUGUUGUCAUGUCCCGUUGUGUGUGGGGUUGGCGUUGAACUGCCCUACUGUGUGCACGUGUGUGUGUGUACACAAGGUUACAUGAUGUUGGAGCCUAUCUGUUGGCUGACGAGGAGUGCAGUCUGAUCCAGCAGGUUCACGCCAUCAGUAAUGUAGAGGAGUCUAUCUACAUGGAGUCUUCUGUCCAGCCCUAUGGGCCCCAGGCCAGGUAAAACACAGCAUGGAGUCUUCUGUCCAGCCCUAUGGGCCCCAGGCCAGGUAAAACACAGCAUGGAGUCUUCUGUCUAGUCCAAUGGGCCCCAGGCCAGGUAAAACACAACAUGGAGUCUUCUGUCUAGUCCAAUGGGCCCCAGGCCAGGUAAAACACAACAUGGAGUCUUCUGUCUAGUCCUAUGGGCCCCAGGCCAGGUAAAACACAGCAUGGAGUCUUCUGUCUAGUCCUAUGGGCCCCAGGCCUGGUAAAACACAGCAUGGAGUCUUCUGUCUAGUCUUAUGGGCCCCAGGUAAAACACAGCAUCUGACAAACUGGGAGCUAAGGGACAGCUGUUUGUCACUGGCUGGGUACAUGCAGGUAUGGUGGACGUUGAUGUGGCAACGGCAAGCACUGUUGGGGGAGGAGAUUGCUGUAGCCUCCGUUAUUAUAUGAAGAGGAGAUUAUAAUGAAGGCUACAGACAUAACGAGCUACAUCUAAGUACUUUGGCCUCAACCUUUAAUAAACAACAGCCUUUGAUCUGUUUUCACCCAGUGUACCUGAUGGAACUCACUGACUACCUUUUUAAUGGGCAUCUAUCAUUACUUUUGAAGGUACCGGUCGAUGUCUUAGUCCUACAAAUAGCUGGUUGGUCUGGUUUGUGUGUGGCUGCUUGCUGAAUAAGCUUUGUUGUGCAGAAUGCUGGUGGGAGGAAGGUAUUUAUCUUCCUCUGAGGUACAGGUCAUAGUUAAGCAGGAUGGCAGUUGUCUAUCUGAUGGACUCUUCCUGCUAAACCUGCUUGAAUGGGUUAGGGUUUCUGCUGCUGUGUCAGAUAUCACUGUGAAGAUUAAUGGGUUGUUGAGCUGUGUGUGUGUGUGUGUGUGUGUGUGUGUGUGUGUGUGUGUGUGUGUGUGUGUGUGUGUGUGUGUGUGUGAGAUUUCAAGUGUGUGUGUGUGUGUGUGUGUGUGAGAGAGAAUGUGUGUGUGUGUGUGAGAGAGAGUGUGUGUGUGAGAGAGGGAGAUAAUGUGAGUGUGAACACGAGAUUGUGUGUUUGGCAAUUUUAUAAGUUAGAGCUUUCUGCUAACCUCUGCACUUCAGAAAUUCCUCUCGCUUCUAGAGCCUCCCCUCUCCUUCUCCCCCUCCCCUCUCCUUCUCCCCCUCCCCUCUCCUUUCCCUCCCCUCUCAGCCUCCUGUCUUCCCUCCAUGUUGUUGUCUCAUACUGUUAGUACUGUAUGUUAUAGUCAGGGUUGUGCUCAGUGGACCUAGAAACUGAGGCACUAUAUUCAAUCAGUACAGUCAAAAUGCUUGUUAAUUUCCACCUCGUGUACCUAUUGAAUGUGACCCGGACUUAGGGCUUUUCUCUUGUUUCUGUUUCCCUAGCAGACCCUCCUCCCCAUCCCUCACUCUUUCUGUCCAUAGCCAAUACUUUCCUCGCCUUUUAGGUUUCACCCAAUAAAUAAGAGUUAUUGUCAGAUUGACCAAACAAAUCUAAUGUUCCAGUAACAGCCACUCAAAUGUUGGUGUAUGUGGUACUGCUCGCAACACAGACUUAGCCUGGUUAAACUAGCCUGAACGCUGAACUCCCCAUUCUAGGGAAGUGAAACAAUGGUGAGCGCAGCAUUCAGUCUGGUUCAACCAG
ensembl:lncRNA